rnacentral:misc_RNA from 1 species
GAUGAAGAACGUAGUGAAAUGCGAUAAGUAAUGUGAAUUGCAGAAUUCAGUGAAUCAUCGAAUCUUUGAACGCACAUUGCGCCCGCCAGUAUUCUGGCGGGCAUGCCUGUUCGAGCGUCAUUUCAACCAUCAAGCCCCAGGCUUGUGUUGGGGACCUGCGGCUGCCGCAGGCCCUGAAAACCAGUGGCGGGCUCGCUGUCACACCGGGCGUAGUAGAUUUUAUCUCGCUCUGGGCGUGCUGCGGGUUCCGACCGUUAAAAAACCCUUUUAACCCAAGGUUGACCUCGGAUCAGGUAGGAAUACCCGCUGAACUUAAGCAUAUCAAUAAGCGGAGGA